rnacentral:rRNA from 1 species
GCAUAUCAAUAAGCGGAGGAAAAGAAACUAACAAGGAUUCCCCUAGUAACGGCGAGUGAAGCGGGAUGAGCUCAAAUUUAAAAUCUGGCGGCCUCAGGUCGUCCGAGUUGUAGUCUAGAGAAUCGUUUUCCGCGUUGGCCUGUGUACAAGUCCCUUGGAACAGGGCGUCAUAGAGGGUGAGAAUCCCGUCCUUGACACAGACUACCAAUGCUUUGUGAUGCGAUCUCGAAGAGUCGAGUUGUUUGGGAAUGCAGCUCAAAAUGGGUGGUAAAUUCCAUCUAAAGCUAAAUAUUGGCGAGAGACCGAUAGCGAACAAGUACCGUGAGGGAAAGAUGAAAAGCACUUUGGAAAGAGAGUUAAACAGUACGUGAAAUUGUUAAAAGGGAAACGAUUGAAGUCAGUCAUGCUUUCCGAGACUCAGCCGAUUCUGUCGGUGUACUUCUCGGUUGGCAGGCCAGCAUCAGUUUCGAUCUGUGGAAAAGGUUGGAGGGAACGUGGCAUCCUCGGAUGUGUUAUAGCCCUUCUUCGAAUACAUAGAGCGGGACUGAGGAACGCAGCGCGCCUUUUAUUAGGUUGGCCCUCGGGUACAUACGCGCUAG